rnacentral:misc_RNA from 1 species
UUUCCGUAGGUGAACCUGCGGAAGGAUCAUUAACGAGUACGUGCAACUUCGGUUGCCGAUUCUAUCCUUUUCCUGUGAACAUUUUGACUUACUUUGGUGGACGAUUUAUUGUCUGCCAAAAGAUUUAAAACCUUUUAAUUUAUACAAGUCUAAACUGAUAAUUUAAUUAAUCAAAACUUUCAACAACGGAUCUCUUGGUUCUC